rnacentral:rRNA from 1 species
UACGAAGGGGGCUAGCGUUGCUCGGAAUCACUGGGCGUAAAGGGUGCGUAGGCGGGUCUUUAAGUCAGGGGUGAAAUCCUGGAGCUCAACUCCAGAACUGCCCUUUGAUACUGAGGAUCUUGAGUUCGGGAGAGGUGAGUGGAACUGCGAGUGUAGAGGUGAAAUUCGUAGAUAUUCGCAAGAACACCAGUGGCGAAGGCGGCUCACUGGCCCGAUACUGACGCUGAGGCACGAAAGCGUGGGGAGCAAACAGGGAUUAGAUACCCCUAGUACG